rnacentral:rRNA from 4 species
AGCAGCCGCGGUAAUUCCAGCUCCAAUAGCGUAUAUUAAAGUUGUUGCAGUUAAAAAGCUCGUAGUUGAAUUUCGGGGUUAGUAGGUUGGUCAUGCCUCUGGUAUGUACUGGUCUCACUGAUUCCUCCUUCCUGAUGAACCUUAAUGCCAUUUAUUUGGUGUUUUGGGGAAUUUGGACUGUUACUUUGAAAAAAUUAGAGUGUUUAAAGCAAGCUAACGCUUGAAUACAUUAGCAUGGAAUAAUGAAAUAGGACGUUCGAUCCUAUUUUGUUGGUUUCUAGGAUUGACGUAAUGAUUAAUAGGGAUAGUUGGGGGCAUUAGUAUUCAAUUGUCAGAGGUGAAAUUCUUGGAUUUAUUGAAGACUAACUACUGCGAAAGCAUUUGCCAAGGAUGUUUUCAUUAAUCAAGAACGAAAGUUAGGGGAUCGAAGACGAUCAGAUACCGUCGUAGUCUUAACCAUAAACUAUGCCGACUAGGGAUCGGAUGAUGUUAAUUUUUUAAUGACUCA